UACGUAGGGUGCAAGCGUUGCCCGGAUUUAUUGGGCGUAAAGAGCUCGUAGGCGGUUUGGCAAGUCGGGUGUGAAAUUUCGAGGCUCAACCUCGAAACGCCACUCGAUACUGCCAUGACUGGAGUCCGGUAGAGGAGUGCGGAAUUCCUGGUGUAGCGGUGAAAUGCGCAGAUAUCAGGAGGAACACCAACGGCGAAGGCAGCACUCUGGGCCGGUACUGACGCUGAGGAGCGAAAGCGUGGGGAGCAAACAGG
rnacentral:rRNA from 1 species